GCCCAGCUUGCUGGGCGGAUUAGUGGCGAACGGGUGAGUAACACGUGAGUAACCUGCCCUUGACUUCGGGAUAACUCCGGGAAACCGGGGCUAAUACCGGAUAUGAGCCGCCUUCGCAUGGGGGUGGUUGGAAAGUUUUUCGGUCAGGGAUGGGCUCGCGGCCUAUCAGCUUGUUGGUGGGGUGAUGGCCUACCAAGGCGACGACGGGUAGCCGGCCUGAGAGGGCGACCGGCCACACUGGGACUGAGACACGGCCCAGACUCCUACGGGAGGCAGCAGUGGGGAAUAUUGCACAAUGGGCGAAAGCCUGAUGCAGCGACGCCGCGUGAGGGAUGAAGGCCUUCGGGUUGUAAACCUCUUUCAGCAGGGAAGAAGCGCAAGUGACGGUACCUGCAAAAAAAGCGCCGGCUAACUACGUGCCAGCAGCCGCGGUAAUACGUAGGGCGCAAGCGUUGUCCGGAAUUAUUGGGCGUAAAGAGCUCGUAGGCGGUUUGUCGCGUCUGGUGUGAAAACUCGAGGCUCAACCUCGAGCUUGCAUCGGGUACGGGCAGACUAGAGUGCGGUAGGGGAGACUGGAAUUCCCUGGUGUAGCGGUGGAAUGCGCAGAUAUCAGGAGGAACACCGAUGGCGAAGGCAGGUCUCUGGGCCGCAACUGACGCUGAGGAGCGAAAGCAUGGGGAGCGAACAGGAUUAGAUACCCUGGUAGUCCAUGCCGUAAACGUUGGGCACUAGGUGUGGGGCUCAUUCCACGAGUUCCGUGCCGCAGCAAACGCAUUAAGUGCCCCGCCUGGGGAGUACGGCCGCAAGGCUAAAACUCAAAGGAAUUGACGGGGGCCCGCACAAGCGGCGGAGCAUGCGGAUUAAUUCGAUGCAACGCGAAGAACCUUACCAAGGCUUGACAUGCACGAGAAGCCACCAGAGAUGGUGGUCUCUUUGGACACUCGUGCACAGGUGGUGCAUGGUUGUCGUCAGCUCGUGUCGUGAGAUGUUGGGUUAAGUCCCGCAACGAGCGCAACCCUCGUCCCAUGUUGCCAGCGGGUUAUGCCGGGGACUCAUGGGAGACUGCCGGGGUCAACUCGGAGGAAGGUGGGGAUGACGUCAAAUCAUCAUGCCCCUUAUGUCUUGGGCUUCACGCAUGCUACAAUGGCCGGUACAAAGGGCUGCGAUACCGUAAGGUGGAGCGAAUCCCAAAAAGCCGGUCUCAGUUCGGAUUGGGGUCUGCAACUCGACCCCAUGAAGUCGGAGUCGCUAGUAAUCGCAGAUCAGCAACGCUGCGGUGAAUACGUUCCCGGGCCUUGUACACACCGCCCGUCAAGUCACGAAAGUCGGUAACACCCGAAGCCCAUGGC
rnacentral:rRNA from 1 species